UCCACUUUGCCUCCGUUUGGAGGGUAAC
rnacentral:piRNA from 1 species